rnacentral:lncRNA from 1 species
CUGGGAAAAUCCUUAAUCCUGGCAGUGAUGGUUCCUUUCAACUCCCUGGGUCAGGCUUAAAAUAGCAUUUCUGUGAAGAAGAGAGCGUGAUGGAGGAAAACAAGGCAGCUCCUCGCUUCAUUGUGCCUGAACUGUGACUAAACCAUGACGAGUUAGAAGCAUGUGUAAUAUAUGCAUGAAAUCUGCAGCACCCUUCCUUAAAAUUAAUGCAGAUCAAGAGACCCUGAUUGUUUUGGACCACAGAGCAAGAAGCAAGGCCUACAGGCAAGUCCCCUGCCAGCAUUCUUCUCUGGAGAGCAUCAACAGGAAAAGAUCAACACAACUUCAGCAGUGGAAGUGAGCUGGGAAGUGGGGAUCACUGAGAAGAAAAAAGAAAAAGCGGCUUGGGAUUUUCAAGAAACCAUAGAAAUGUUACUGCCUUUUUCCCUUGGCUUGGGGCAAGAGCAUCAACUUGGCCAUCAGACUUAUUCUGGGCCUUUGAAAAUGACAGACUCAGGGCAUUUAUGCUCUUUUAUUUAUGCUCUUUUUUUUUCUUUUUUUUUUUCUGUUUAACAAAAUAAAAGAAUUUCCAUCUUUCAGUUGUCAGUAGUGGUGAUGAGCAAAAUCAGAUAAACGUGGGGAAAUUCUUAUUCACUGGACCCUAGCUAUAUAAUGCAGCCAUUAUCUUUUAAUAGUUAACAUAAA